rnacentral:rRNA from 1 species
AGCGAACGCCGGCGGCAGGCUUAACACAUGCAAGUCGAACGCCCCUUCGGGGGAGUGGCAGACGGGUUAGUAACGCGUGGGAACGUGCCCUUUGGUUCGGAAUAUUCUCGGGAAACUGAGAGCAAUACCGGAUAAGCCCUACGGGGGAAAGAUUUAGCGCCAAAGGAGCGGCCCGCGUCAGAUUAGCUAGUUGGUAGGGUAAUGGCCUACCAAGGCUACUAUCUGUAGCUGGUCUGAGAGGAUGAUGAGCAACACUGGGACUGAGACAGGGCCCAGAGUCCUACGGGAGGCAGCAGUGGGGAAUAGUGGACAAUGGGCGAAAGCCUGAUCCAGCCAUGCCGCGUGAAUGAUGAAGGCCUUAGGGUUGUAAAAUCCUUUCACCGGAGAUGAUAAUGACAGUAUCCGGAGAAGAAGCCCCGGCUAACUUCGUGCCAGCCGCCGCAGUAA